AUGAAUUGAAAGAUCUGAAGGAAUUAUAAUCAUCUGUUGUUUUACUUACAGACUUUUGUUAAAGGUUGUUAAGUUAUGUAGAUUUUAGUUUGUAGUUCAAUAGAGAAUAUAUUAGCAAGUGUGUAUUUAAUCAAAGCUUAUGUUGAUCUAAACCACGAUAUGCGAUUCGUUUAAUGAUAUACAGGAUGUAACUAUAAUUCAUGGCAUAUGCAACCAUUAGUAUGAUUGUUAAUUCAAACUCGUUCUUCAGCAUGUUUUGAAUAUGUAGGGUGGACGGUCCAUUUCAAUUUCGCAAAAAUACAAUACAACAUUAGGGUUUUAAACCUUAAACUGAACUUUUUCCAUUUACUCAGCAUUAGGGUUUUAAACCCUAAACUGAACUUUCUCCAUUUAGUCAGCAUUAGGGUUUUAAACCCUAAACUGAACUCUUUCCUUUAGUCAACAUUAGGGUUUUGAACCCUAAACUGAACUUUUCCAUUCAGUUAGCAUUAGGGUUUUAAACCCUAAACUGAACUUUUUCCUUCAGUCAUCAUUAGGGUUUUAAACCCUAAACUGAACUUUUCCUUUAGUCAACAUUAGGAUUUUAAACCCUAAACUGAACUUUUUCC
rnacentral:lncRNA from 1 species